rnacentral:lncRNA from 1 species
GCGGACGUAAGAGAAAUGGAAGCGCUCCACCACAUUUCUGCAAAAGCAGUGGUGGAAUUGCUCGCCAUAUCCUUCAACAAUUGGAAACCAUGAAAAUCAUCGAUAUGGAUCCCAAGGGGUGAGUUUCAAUUUUCUUUUAUCUUUUAAUCAAUGCAUUUUCUUGUUUCAAGAAUCCAUUUGUUGCUCUUGAAUCUUGAUCAUAUAAAGGCUUCAUAUAUACAUGUUGUUACUUGUUACUUACUUAAGGGACUGUUUUUUAGACCUGUUAAGGUUAAUGUGUUAAGCAUCUGAUCUGAACAUAAUGACUUAAUGGAUUAAGCACUUGUUACUUAAUAACCCUUUACCUAUUUGCAUUUUUUUCUAUUUCCUCCCAGCUUCAAUACUGUGAAAUUUGUUUUUUUGAAAUGUAAGGGUAAAAUGGUAAAAUUGUUUGUUUAUUUUUUUGGUUGUGUUACAGAGGAAGAAGGAUCACAUCUAAUGGUCGACGAGACCUUGAUCAAGUUGCAGGGCGGAUUGUGGUUGUUGCACCUUGAAGAAUUCAAAUCAUUUUUGAUGUUAUGUAGCUUUAUUAUGAAUCUUAACUUUAAAAAAAUUUAAAUCAAAUUUUGUUUGAAGAAAUCUUGUUUUCAUUUUUGAGUUGUUUGUGUUUUGGUGGUAUUUCUGAGAAUUUGUGGAUUUGGAACAUGAGUACAUGUAAUCAAUCACUUAACUACUUAAGCUCUAAUCCUGAUACUUGAAUUAAUACACUCCAAUGAGAAAUGAUUUUGUAGGAUUAUUUGAAGAGUAUGGAAUUGAAUACUCCUGAUUUUUAUAUACAUGUACCAUGGUAGAUGCCUUAAUAGUCUUGUUCCACUCACUUAAAAUGCAUGAAAUAUUUAUAUAUGUUUUUGUUUGGUGUUGCCAUGUUAUUUGUGUAGAUGAUCCAAUAAGAAGAGAUAAGAUCAAAGUCAUUGAAGAUUAUCCUUCUUAAAAUGAAGGGUUUUUUUUGACACAUGUUGAUCUCUCAUGAUUUUUGACAUUUGUUAUUUUAUUAUAUUUUUAGAAUAAAUAAUAUAACAUGUCAAUUUAUAGAUUUUUCAAAUUUUAAAUUAAAAAGUCACAUAAUAUUUAUAUAUGUAAAGUAUUUAAUGUAAUUAAUAGUUUCUUCAUUCCUUAUUUUAAAUUUUAUUUAAAAAAUACUUAACGUUUAUAUUUUAGUAUUUAAUAUUUUGUUUAAUCAACCUGUGUAAUACACGGGUUUUGUACCUAGUUUGUAAUAUUUGUUACUAGCAUCUUGCAAUCCAUAGAUGAUAUAUUGUAUGUUGACUAUAAACAAGUUAAUCUUUAUAAGUUGCUUGUUCUCCAUUUCUUGCAUCAAUACGGGAUUAAUUGGGCACUUUGAGAUUCAUCGUAAUGUUCUUCACCCUAUUAGAAUCCUUUUAAGGUUACUUGUUUGUCUUCUCACAACGCCCUAAUGAGGGUAAUCUUUAUAAGUUGCUUGUUCUCCAUUUCUUGCAUCAAUACGGGAUUAAUUGGGCACUUUGAGAUUCAUCGUAAUGUUCUUCACCCUAUUAGAAUCCUUUUAAGGUUGCUUGUUUGUCUUCUCACAACGCCCUAAUGAGGGUAACCAUGAUAUUUGACGAUAUCUAACGACAACAUAUGCUUAGAAUAAAAAAAUAGAUGAAGAAAAAAAAAGAUUCUAUAUGAUAUGCCUCACAACGCCCUAAUGAGAGUAACCGUAAUAUUUGACGAUAUUUAACGAUAACAUAUGUUUACAAUAAAAAAUAGAUGAAAGAAAAAAAAAAAGAUUCCAUAUGAUAUGUCUCACAACGCCCUAAUAAGAGUAACAGUGAUAUUUGAUGAAAUUUAACGACAACAUAUGUUUAGAAUAAAAAAAUAGAUGAAAAAAAAAAUUCUAUAUAACAUGUCUCACAACGCCCUAAUGAGAGUAACCAUGAUAUUUGACGAUAUUUUACGACAACAUAUGCUUAGAAUAAAAAAAUAGAUGAAAGAAAAGAAAAAGAUUUCAUAUGAUAUGUCUCAAAACGCCCUAAUAAGAGUAACCGUGAUAUUUGACGAUAUUUAACGACAACAUAUGCUUAGAAUAAAAAAAAUAGAUGAAAGAAAAAAAAAGAUUCUAUAUAAUAUGUCUCACAAUGCCCUAAUGAGAGUAACCGUGAUAUUUGACGAUAUUUAACGACAACAUAUGCGUUAGAAUAAAGAAAUAGAUGAAAGAAAAAAAGAUUCUAUAUAUAUAUAUAUAUAUGAUAUGUCCAUGCAAAAGUUAUCUAUGAUAUAAAUAGUGGGGUACAAAAGAAAACCACAACCACAAAGCGAGUGCCAUAUUAUGAGGCAACACUUAAUAUAAAAUCUAUAGAUAGGCUUCUAAUGAAUGUGACUACCAACUUGUGAGAUCAUUUGAGUCUAUUUAUAGACAUGAUUGAUAGAUGAUUAUGACAAACUCAUAUUCUAUGUGUGAUUUCUCAACAACAAAUAUAUCACUAACUCCACUACAUAUAUUAACAAAGUAAACAAACAAUUUAAAAAGCUCCCAAAAAAACAAGGAUAGUAUGUUAAGAGAUAUGAAGUUUUAAUAAGCCGAUAAUCACACUUCCCCGAUAUGAAUAUAUAUUCUUGAGACAACAACUUAAAACGAUUCUAAAAAGAGCUAGAAUAACAUAUUGAGGGAUAUGAAAGUGUUAAAUAACACGAUACACAUACUCUCCCUAUAAUGAAGAUAACCUGAUAACCAAAACACACAUUCUUGAAUGGGAUCGUCUACAAUAAUACAAUUGUAAGAGUGUGGUAUCUUAGUAAGUAUUUUAGGCAUUAUGGUUGUUCAGUAUAAGAUGAUGAAGGUCCCGAUAGUAUCAAUCUUAUCAUUUUUUAAAAAUUUAUAUAGUAGUUAGUUAGAUGUGAAUAGACCCGUAUCCUCACUUUCCAUUGUUUCUACAGAUCGUAACAAUGUAUAUUUUCGAUUAUAGUAUUAUUAAACUGCUAGUUGGUUGAUUUUAUGUAAUGUUAUACAACAACUUGUUAUAUAGCAAUGUAUAGUAAUUUAUGUAAGACGUUUAUUAUUAUAGUAGUUUAUAACUCGUGGGAACCACGGUUAUAAAAUUAAUUAGACUUUUAUAGUAAAAAAAUCAAAACUAUUAAUCAUUUAUUUUAAAUAAAUUACUAAUUAAGAGAUAUUUUUAUUAGUUAUGUAAAAUUAUAAUCGUUAAUUCAAAAAAAAUAUGUAAAAUUAAUUUUUAUUAUAUAUUAGACAUUUUUUAUUUGUGAAUUAAUGAAAACAAUAAUAUAAAAUUUAAAAAUUUAAAAUAGAGAAUAAAUUUAUUGACAAAUAGCAUCACAUCAAUGAGGAGGUCUAAUAAAUUUUAAAUGGAAAACUAAUAGAUUGACAAGUGGCAACACAUUAAUUAAGAGAUAUAAUAUGGUGACACAUGGCAAAAUAGCUACUCUUUUAUUAGUAUAGGGAGAUAAGACACUUGUGUAUUGCUAAAUAAUGGACCGAAAAUGUACAUUCUAAGGAACAAGAAAUUAAAUUAGGAAGAUUAUUGUUGAUUGAUAAAUAAUGAACGAACAAUACUAAUACUAUAAAACACCAAAUUUGUUGAAGAUAUCUUCGCUGCCUAAUUGGCAUUCUUUACAAUAUUGUGGUUUUUCCUUAUUUCAUUGGAGGUAUUCUUUUCCCUUUUAUGCUAAUAACCGACGACUCUUAUGACCAUUUUUUUGCAAUGGAUUAAAACCUAAUGAUGCUUAAUGUGUAUUCUUUGCACCAUUAAGGCUUUUCUUAUCCGAGCUUCUCUUUCUUCAUGGUCGGAGAUCAUUAUGAGUUGCUUGUUUGUAUUUUUCUACGUUGAUGUUCAUAUUAAGCGCAUAGAGUAAUGGGGAAAAGGAUGACAAAACACCAAUAAUUAGAAUCGAUCAACCGACUUAAGGGAAUGACAUAUUUAUGUGUUGUAGGAAACAUAAUCAAAUAGAGAUCAUAACGAUUAACUUACAAUUUAAAGGUUCCUAAUAAAGACAAUACAAAAACUAGACACAAACCUAAAGAUAUGAUCUCCAAAUAUUUAAACAUAUAUAGUCCCUAACGAGGCUUUACCGAGAAGAAAUUAUGGCUCCAAUAUGCAUGUUUGAAGUUUACGUAGGAAACGAGCCAAACAUCAAUACUCACGAAGAAACAAGUUUCUUGAGAACAAGUAUUGAGCCUUGUUUUGUGGGGUCGAUGACAAUUUUAUUAAUAUAGUUCAAAGAAGAAAUUUUAACGGCAAAAGUUUAGCGGAAUUUGCUUUAUUUCAGAAUCAACAUACAUGCGAGUUUACUAUUGCAUUUCUUAAUCAAAUUCUCAUGUAGAUUAUGGCAAUAUGGGCUUGGGUCUAAUUCUUAAAAAUUCUUGUGUUUUAGUUUGAUGGUUAUUUAUUUUUAAAUUAUGGUCAUUUAUAAUUUUAAAAACACUAGUAGUUACGACCUAGACUUCAAGAUGUUUUCACUUUAGCAAAAGGGUAUUUUGAACAAUUAACUACAUUUAUAAAAGGAAAAUUUCAGAUUUUUAGGGAUGAUUAAUUCUCAUAAUUUAAAAAAAUCUGAAUUUUUUAAUUAAUUCAAUUUCAAUUUUUACCGAUUUUAUUUUGUCAGAAUAUUUUUUGUUAGAAUGAUACUCUUUCAGAAUUUUAUUCUAAUAGAAUAUUAUUGAAGAAAAACAAAAUUUUGAACCAAAUGUUGAAAAUUAACAAACAUUCUGAUAUAUUCCUAUACAUCCGAACUUAAAUACAAAUUCAUACAUAUUCUUACAGACUAAAAGUCUCAUACAUUUUAAUAUAGUUAUAAAAUAUUCUAAAAGAAUACCAACAAAAAUUAAUAAUAUUCUUAGAAAAUAACAACAUUCUGCUAGAAUACUCUCGUUCUCCAUGUUUUCUUCAUUUUUCACAUCAAUGACAGCCCCUUCAAAACCUAAAUAAAAAAAACAUAAUCAACUUUAUACUCCAUUUGAGUACCAGACAUACAUACAUACCGGUGAUUAACAACAUAAACUACAAACUUUCAUAUAUCCAAAAGCAUCCAUUCACCAGCAAAAGCUUACAAAAAAAAAAGCAAAACACAUCAUUAUAAAAUUACAGAAGACAAAGGGAAGAACAAAGACAAAGAAGACGCCUUAGAAAGUGAUAGUCAGCAAACAGAAAUCAACAGAAAUCGUGAUGGACCCGAGUAAUUACCUACAUCCAAAAUCGAAAGAGUAAUUUUGAAGUCAUCAGAGUCGAAUUGUAGAGAGAAACACAAACCGACCUAAGCAGGGCAGGCGGUGGUGGAGAGCGAUACCGUAUAGGGUUGUGGUGGAGAGCGACGAUGCAUUAGGCGGUGGUGUAGAAGGGAGAAAGAGUAAAACAAAGAAGAUGAAAGGUAAUCGGUUUGGUGUAGAAAGUGGAACAAUCGAGAAUAUAGAAGGAAGAUUAAAGUAACCCCGAUUGUAGAAGCUAACCUGAUAAACAGUACCCGAGUUAGCUACUCUGCAUAAGAGUCUUGUGCUGAAUGUAAAAUGGGUGAAAGGAUUGACGACAAUUGUAAUUUUCAAGCGUAGGGUUUUUUGGGUUUGACUUUGAUAUCCCAUAUUUAAAGGGAUGAUAAAUAUAUUAGUUAUCUACCAUAUUUAAAUAUGUCAAGAUUACUAUAAUACCCUUAAAUGAUUUAUUUAAUGAUUUAUUAUUUCCUAAAUUCUCAUUGGUGCACACAUGUACACAAUAAUUAUCAAAAACAUUUGAACCUCUCUCUCUCUCUCUCUCUUUCUCUCUAUAUAUAUACACACACACAUACAUACAUAUAUAUAUAUAUAUACAUAUAUAUAUACAUACAUACACACACAUACAUAUAUAUAUAUAUAUAUAUAUAUAUAUAUAUAUACAUACAUACAUACACACACACAAAAUAAAGACCGUCCACUAUACCUCUUCAUGUUCGGUUGGGAAAUUGGACAAACACCAUCCACUAUACCUCUUCAUGUUCGGUUAGGCUAUAUAGAAUGGAAGACAACACGAUUUUCGUGAAGGUGCGCCACAUCACCGAAAAAAUCAAGUCAUUUGCUUUUUACUAGGUAUAGGAAAUGGUAUUCAAUCAUCAAGUUGCUAUGGAGUUAGAGAGAGAUAUGGUUUUCCUCUCUCGCUUCUGAAGGAUCGUAGCCAUAGUCACGAGAGGUCACACUUAUCAAGGUUGGGGGUAGUGUUUGGAGCCACCUUACACAUAACUUGGCAAGCAAGUCACGUUACACGUAUUUUUGUUAUGCAUUCCGUACAACCUAAUGUUUCUAUCCGUGUAGCCGACCCCCAUCUCGAACCAUUAGCAUACCCUGAACCCCAGGCCUCUUUAGUCUUCCAUGCUUAUAGCUAAGGAUAAGCAUAGGCAAGUACCCACCCAAUUUCGUCAGAACCAAAAUUGAUCUAGACAAUUAUUAAAUUUUUGGAACCAGCUCCGAAAACCUGGUAACCCAAUUAUGUCAUUUUUGUAGUAUCAUUAAUACAAAAUAAUUAUUAGCCAUUGAAGCAAAAAAGUAAUUUAUUUUAAAAGAUAACCGAAGUUUUUAAAUAUAAAUCAUAAACCAAAGUUCAUAUUUUGACUAUCAACAUGUUGAUGUUAUUUAAAAUCAAAUAUUUUCAAAAGAAAUUAUCAUCACUUAUGUUCAAAUGGUUUUAUAGUUAUCUAUUCACAUUUACGUCAGACCAUUUUUUUUGAAAAAAAAUACAAAUAUGAUUUAUUAGCAUGUUACCUCCAAGAUACAAUUAGAUAGUUCCAACAUAUGUCUUAGCCAUCAAAAAGUUGUUACGACCAAUUCAUUUAAGUAUUAAGUAUUUUUAAAUUUUAAUAUUUUGGAACCUGUUAUGGCUGUUACCCAAUGUUAUGGCUGUUACCCAAUGGGUAACGGUUCCUAACAAAUGAAAGCCAGUAUCGGAACCGGUCGUCGGUGGUUCCAAUUUUUAAGAACAAGAAUCGAAACCAGUGACCUCGGUUUCAGUUCCAAAACCAACGAUUUCUGAGCGGUUAUGAUUCCAAAAACAGAUACCUACUCUCUUGCUCAACCUUAAUUAUAGUUGAAGCCUUAUAUAUUAUAGAAAAGGUUAUGGAUGGGCCCAAUACUUGUCUAAAGAGCUGCUGGUUCGACGACCACAUACCCAAUAUGUCCAGAUGGCCCAAAAUCGACACAGAUAAAUAUUGAUGAUAUAACUAUGGAAGAAAACCUAGCCAAUUGCUCUUCGUGCAGGUCUAAAUCGCCUCAACGCAGCUACAAUGGCGACAGCGAGAACUGUGAAGGAUGUUUCCCCGCAUGAAUUCGUUAAGGGUUACGCCGCUCAUCUCAAACGAUCCGGCAAGGUAAAAUCGACCACACUACUGAUUUUAGGGUUUGUUGAUUUAGAGUAACGGAGUGGCUUUUUAUUUCCCCCACAAAUGCAUCAAUCUCGAAUUUUGUAUGCUUAAAAAUGAACUGAACUUUUGUAUUUGGUGAGCUUCGGCUCUAAUUUUAGUGUUUUUUAACUGUAAUUGAAUUUUGAUUCUGUGUUUGGUGAAACAUUACCCCUAAUUUCUCUACUCUAAUCUUUUCAUGUACAAUUGAUCAUCUUGAUAAUUCUAAUUUUCAUAGAUGGAGCUUCCUGAAUGGACUGAUAUCGUGAAGACUGCGACCUUCAAGGAACUUGCACCCUAUGAUCCAGAUUGGUAUUACAUCAGAGCUGGUAAGUUCUUUCUAUUUCCAUUUUCCCACAAUUAUCAGAGUGAAGAGAAGAAACAAACCCAUAUUUUGUAAUUCCAAUUUGCAGCUUCAAUUGCUAGGAAAAUAUACUUGAGAGGUGGUCUUGGUGUUGGAGCGUUGCAGAGGAUCUAUGGUGGACGUAAGAGAAAUGGAAGCGCUCCACCACAUUUCUGCAAAAGCAGUGGUGGAAUUGCUCGCCAUAUCCUUCAACAAUUGGAAACCAUGAAAAUCAUCGAUAUGGAUCCCAAGGGGUGAGUUUCAAUUUUCUUUUAUCUUUUAAUCAAUGCAUUUUCUUGUUUCAAGAAUCCAUUUGUUGCUCUUGAAUCUUGAUCAUAUAAAGGCUUCAUAUAUACAUGUUGUUACUUGUUACUUACUUAAGGGACUGUUUUUUAGGCCUGUUAAGGUUAAUGUGUUAAGCACCUGAUCUGAACAUAAUGACUUAAUGGAUUAAGCACUUGUUACUUAAUAACCCUUUACCUAUUUGCAUUUCUUUCUAUUUUCUCCCAACUUCAAUAUUGUGAAAUUUGUAUUUUGAAAUGUAAGGGUAAAAUGGUAAUUUUAGUCUAUUUCAGAGGCCAAUGCAGUCUCAAAAAAGAGUUAGACAUUAUCUAUGCAGCCAUUUUAAAUAAACAACCCUUAAGUCAUAUCUAAAUAAAACUAAGUUCUUGUAUUUUCUAUUAAGUGAUAUCUAGAUAGGAUAAAAUGUUUUCUAGAUAUGUAAUGUUUGUGACAAAUGAUCAAAAUUGUUUGUUUAUUUUUUUGGUUGUGUCACAGAGGAAGAAGGAUCACAUCUAAUGGCCGAAGAGACCUUGAUCAAGUUGCAGGGCGGAUUGUGGUUGUUGCACCUUGAAGAAUUCAAAUCAUUUUUGAUGUUAUGUAGCUCUAUUAUGAAUCUUAACUUAAAAAAAUUUAAAUCAAAUUUUGUUUGAAGAAAUCUUGUUUUCAAUUUUGAGCUGUUUGUGUUUUGGUGGUAUUUUUGAGAAUUUGUGGAUUUGGAACAUGAGUACAUGUAAUCAAUCACUUAACUACUUAAGCUCUAAUCCUGAUGCUUGAAUUAAUACACUCCAAUGAGGAAUGAUUUUGUAGGAUUAUGUGAAGAGUAUGGAAUUGAAUACUCCUGAUUUUUAUAUACAUGACCAUGGUAGAUGCCUUAAUAGUUAAUAGUCUUGUUCCACUCACUUAAAAUGCAUGAAAUGUUUAUAUAUGUUUUGGUUUGGUGUUGCCAUGUUAUUUGUUACUAGCAUCUUGCAAUUCAUAGUUGAUAUAUUGUAUGUUGACAAAAACAAGUUAAUCUUUAUAAGUUGCUUGUUCUCCUUUUCUUGCACCAAUAUGGAUUAAUUGGACACUUGAGAUUCAUCGUAAUGUUCUUCACCCUAUUAGAAACAAACAACAACUUAUCUAAGAUAUAAAAAUAGUAGGGUACAAAAGAAAACCACAAAGUGAGUGCGAUAUUAUGAG